rnacentral:rRNA from 1 species
UGGGGAAUAUUGCACAAUGGGCGAAAGCCUGAUGCAGCGACGCCGCGUGAGGGAUGACGGCCUUCGGGUUGUAAACCUCUUUCAGCAGGGAAGAAGCGAAAGUGACGGUACCUGCAGAAGAAGCGCCGGCUAACUACGUGCCAGCAGCCGCGGUAAUACGUAGGGCGCAAGCGUUGUCCGGAAUUAUUGGGCGUAAAGAGCUCGUAGGCGGUUAGUCGCGUCUGCUGUGAAAACUCGAGGCUCAACCUCGGGCUUGCAGUGGGUACGGGCUGACUAGAGUGCGGUAGGGGUGACUGGAAUUCCUGGUGUAGCGGUGGAAUGCGCAGAUAUCAGGAGGAACACCGAUGGGCGAAGGCAGGUCACUGGGCCGCAACUGACGCUGAGGAGCGGAAAGCAUGGGGAGCGAACAGGAUUAGAUACCCUGGUAGUCCAUGCCGUAAACGUUGGGCACUAGGUGUGGGGUCCAUUUCCACGGAUUCCGUGCCGCAGCAAAGCGCAUUAAGUGCCCCGCCUGGGGGAGUACGGCCGCAAGGCUAAAACUUAAAUG